AAAGUGGAACUAUCUGGGUGGAGGCUCCACUCAAGGGCAGGAGUCUGCCCAUAUGAAUCCCAUUGCAGGAUGGGGCCUCAAAUGGAAACAUCUAGAAAUGUUGCUGCCCUUUGUGCUCCAGAGUCAACACUCAGCUGAGAUGAAUGAGGGCUGUUCACAGCUGUGAAAGAGAUGUUGCUUCAUUUUUUUCUGCCUGCAGACACUAGAAGGCAGCACUGCAUUGAUUCAUAUUGGUCUGCACUGGUGCCCCAUGAAACAACGCCUUGUGUGAGAAAAAAACAGAUGGAGACUCAAUUGCCUUACACCAGUGUCCAAAACUCUUUAACAGACACGAUUGAAGUGCACAUGCC